GACGUAGGGAGCGAGCGUUGUCCGGAUUCAUUGGGCGUAAAGAGCGCGCAGGCGGUUUGGUAAGUCGGAUGUGAAAGCCCGGGGCUCAACCCCGGACGUGCAUCCGAUACUGCCCGACUAGAGGUAGGUAGGGGAGAUCGGAAUUCCUGGUGUAGCGGUGAAAUGCGCAGAUAUCAGGAGGAACACCGGUGGCGAAGGCGGAUCUCUGGGCCUUACCUGACGCUCAGGCGCGAAAGCUAGGGGAGCGAACAGG
rnacentral:rRNA from 1 species